rnacentral:rRNA from 1 species
AUUCUAAGGCGCUUGAGAGAACUCUGGAGGAAGGAACUCGGACAAUUGACACCGUAACUUCGGAAGAAGGUGUGCCUUUAGGUAGGUGAACCUAUUUACGUUGGGGAGCCCAAUGAGGUCGCAGAGAAUCGGUGGCUGACAACUUAGUUUAAAUAAAAACACAGCACUCUGACAAAGACGAAAGUCGACGUAUAGGGUGUGACGCCUGCCCGGUGCUGGAAGAUUAAUUGAUGGGGUGCAAGCUCUUGAUCGAAGUCCCAGUAAACGGCGGCCGUAACAAUAACGGUCCUAAGGUAGCGAAAUUCCUUGUCGGGUAAGUUCCGACCUGCACGAAUGGCGUAAUGAUGGCCACACUGUCUCCUCCAGAGACUCAGCGAAGUUGAAAUGUUUGUGAUGAUGC